CAUGGAAUUAAUGCUGUAUAGUCUCAAUUUGAGACAUAAGAUGUGUCAGUCAUGCGGAAAAAGGAUGGUGUCUACUUCCCUUCGGCACCCUGGCAUAAUUUCAACUCUGUCAACUUUGCAUAGACUUCAACCUGGACAGGGUGCUUGAGCUCCAACAUUGUAACGACAGAGUACACUUGGCUGACAUUGACUAGUAAUUUUUCCAGUAGACUUCACAGCUUAAGGAAAAACAUCAAACAAAUCACUCAGAAAAGAAAACCCAUAUGAAGACAAUUGUACAUGAGUGACGAUGAGUUUUUUACAGCUCUGCUUAAACGGCCAUCUUAUCAAUUUAGUAGAUGAAUUAAACUCACUCCCACGGAAUUAGUAGUACUCCGAGUGCAUCAUUGUAGUGUUGCUGCAUCAAAACUCAUCGAUUUUAGCUGUUGCCACAAACACACACAGUUAGAGGAGUCUAGAGUAUCAUUUACCAGCUUUAAGGUUUACAAAUUUGUUUAGAAUUCAGUAUAUUGUAUAAUUACCUGCGGUAGCCAGAGUGAUGCCAGCAUGGGGCCAUGGAGGGGACAGAUCACCGUUGGGGUAAAACAGAUUUCAUUGGGGGGAAAAAAAAUUAUAUGUAUUUUUAAAAUCUGAGAGAUACGAGCAUGUACCUCCUUUUAACAUAGUUUUAUAGCUUAAAAUCUAAGGGAUACAGAGUGUCUGUACCUUCUUUGACGUUAGUUUUUUACCUUAAAAUCUGAGAGAUACAGUGUCUGUUCCUUCAUUUACCACAGUUUUAUAGCUUAAAAUUUGAGGGAUUGCCCUAGACAAAAUUACCUACUGUAACGCUAUCAGUUCAGUUUCUGAAGGUCCUUAAUUUUGUCUUCAGAUUUCUCUCAAAACAGGGAGUAUUCAUUUAUAAAAUGGAUGUUUUGGUUAUUUUAAUCUUCAUAUUUUUAAUGUACAGUAAUCAAUUGUACACAUAAAUUAAUAUCUACUUUUGGAUGUUAAGUAUCAGGCAAGUUAAUCUGUGGGUUUGUAAAUAUUGAAUAAGGUAAUUGAACUAGAUAAUCUCAAAAAUAAUGUGCUCUACAGUACUUAUUGUGGUUGAAAUAUACAUUUUUUCUAUAUAUUGUUUUAUAUAUUGUAUUGAUGCUAUGAAAAUGAUGAUAAAACAAUGUUAAUAAAAACAUAAUGAGUAUUUUCAGGAACCGUCAUAAUGUACAAAUCAACCUUAAAGUGAAAAUAGCUAAAUUUCGGCAAAAAUGCGAAGGAGCUGGUUUUGACUACACAAUUGGGCAAUUUUUACUCUGCCAUUUUCAGAUUGUUUUGUGUUCUGGCACGGGUCAGAAAAUACUAUCUAUGCUUCAAAAUGCCACUUAAAUCCUACUUUUAAGGCAUUAUUAAGUAUAUAGGCAUAAUUACAGUAUAAUUUGUGUUGGGAGGUCAUAUUUAUCAAACAACCUCAGAAAUUAGAAUUCACAAACCAUGUUCUAUAUUUUAUGCAAUCCGCACAAGUUUAUCACUUCACAAUGGCAUAACUACUGCAGGUUCAAACGGUUCAUUGAACCAGGGCCCCUGAUCUCCAGGGUCCCCCGAUCUGUAAGUGCCUGUCCCCUUAUAAAAUAUCGAAUAAAACAAUGCAUAGUUAAACAUCUGUAUUUAUAGUAUUUAUCUUUAUACUGCAUGUACUCUUGAACCAAGGCCCCUCAGAACCUAGUUGCACCACUGUCACUGCCUCCUCAUACUGUACCUUCAGAAAUACUUCAUGCUAAGUUAAAAUCACAAUCUCAUAGCUUACCCAUCAACACCAGUAGGCCUACA
rnacentral:lncRNA from 1 species